UAAGAGGUCCCGCCUGCCCUGUGUACAUCAGUUUAACGGCCGCGGUAUUUUGACCGUGCAAAGGUAGCGUAAUCACUUGUCUUUUAAAUGAGGACCUGUAUGAAUGGCAUGACGAGGGUUUGACUGUCUCCUUUUUCAAGUCGAUGAAAUUGAUCUCCCCGUGCAGAAGCGGGGAUACACCCAUAAGACGAGAAGACCCUAUGGAGCUUUAGACACCAAGGCAGUUCAUGUCCAUUACCCUGCUAAAAGGCCAAACAUAAUGAGGUCUGCCCCCUAAUGUCUUCGGUUGGGGCGACCACGGAGAAGAAAAUAACCUCCACGUGGAAUAAUAACACAGUUAUUUGAGCCAAGAACAACAGUUCUAACCUACAGAAUUUCUGACCAGUAAGAUCCGGCAAAGCCGAUCAACGGACCAAGUUACCCUAGGGAUAACAGCGCAAUCCCCUUUUAGAGCCCAUAUCGACAAGGGGGUUUACGACCUCGAUGUUGGAUCAGGACAUCCUAAUAGUGCAGCCGCUAUUAAGGGUUCGUUUGUUCAACG
rnacentral:rRNA from 1 species